rnacentral:tRNA from 1 species
GGGCCCGUAGCUCAACCUGGUAGAGCAAGGAGCUUUUAACUCCUGGGUUCCGAGUUCGAUUCUCGGCGGGCUCUCUA